CUGAGAUGAUUUCUAUGGGAAAGGGACACAGGUGGCUAGAAGUCUCUCCUACACAUGGAUCCUGGUAUAACAUGGACAAAAGAGGAAACGGAAGAAGGAAAGAAAAGAGAAGAAGGAAUAGAAGAAAAGGAAACAAGAAAAGUAAAGAUUUCAGGAUGAAAGUAGAAAACAAGAUGACAGCCAUGAUAUUUUAAAAUGUUACCCAAGCCUAUCUCAGUCACUGGCCAAGGCUCACUACAGUGCUGUCCCCUGCCAUGCCCAAGGGACUCCAUUCUAGGAAGACCAUAGGCUACUUUCCUCAAGGUGCCAUGCAAAGGUACUUCGUUACAAGACUCAUUAAGCAGAUGCUAUUGAUGGCACACUCAAAUCCUCACCCCACCUUUCCUCAACAGCACAGCCUCCAGUUUUAUUCAUGUUUAUUCAAUCUUUCCCUGGGAAGCCGAGUGCUCCAGAAAGGAAAACUUAUUCAUAGACCCAGACGAGCUUAUCUUGAUUAGUUAGGACCUGUAUUUCCCUUGCCAAUGACUGGUUUAACGAGGUGCGGUCACCCAAUCCUGGACAGCGAAACAUGAAUUAAAGUCAGUGGAUGGGCUUCAAGGAAAUGGUCAUCACCUACAUACAAAGAGACAUACUGGAAGAAAUGACCUUGUUUUUCCAGUGAACACUGUCAUUACUUCAUGCUACAACUGGAACUUCGGCAGCAGUCACUCUCAAACCUUUGGGACAAGGCCACCAUGUGAGAGGAAUACUGAAAGAACCUGAAUUCCUGGUAUCAUCACUGAGCCCCUGAAUUACCAGAUGCUGAAAAUUGCUUUGUGCCUGGAUAUUUUUUUUUUUAAUGAGAGACUAAAUUCCUUGUUGCUUACAGCAUUUUGUUUCUUACAGUCAAAAGCCUCCUAACUGUUCUAUGUUUACAUGUUCAUAAAUUCAAAAAGCAAUGGAACAGGGUACUAAUGAGAAAGGAAAGAGCUUGUCCUGUAAGCACGAACACCCUCAUACUUCAACCCAUCUGGCCCUGAUGAAAAGAACUACAAACGGACGAAGAAACAAGUGCCAUGCCAAGCUUCUUGAUCUUUCCUCCUCCUGUCAUGGGAGAAGGAGUCUCCAUAGUUACCUUACUAAAAUCACGUAUAAACUAUUUCUAACAAAUAAAACCCUUCUUAAAAUUUAA